rnacentral:rRNA from 1 species
GAGUUUGAUCAUGGCUCAGGACGAACGCUGGCGGCGUGCUUAACACAUGCAAGUCACGGGGGCCCGCAAGGGCAACCGGCGAACGGGUGCGUAACACGUGAGCAACCUGCCUAGAUGUGGGGGAUAGCCGGCCCAACGGCCGGGUAAUACCGCAUACGGUCACGAGGAGGAGUCUCCUUGUGAAGAAACCUCCGGGGCAUUUAGAGGGGCUCGCGGCCUAUCAGCUAGUUGGCGGGGUAAUGGCCCACCAAGGCUUCGACGGGUAGCUGGUCUGAGAGGAUGGCCAGCCACAUUGGGACUGAGAGACGGCCCAGACUCCUACGGGAGGCAGCAGUGGGGAAUCUUGCGCAAUGGCCGAAAGGCUGACGCAGCGACGCCGCGUGUAGGAGGACGCCCUUCGGGGUGUAAACCACUGUUGCCCGGGACGAACAUCUUCUUUCGAGAGGACUGACGGUACCGGGUGAGGAAGCACCGGCUAACUCCGUGCCAGCAGCCGCGGUA